UGGCAACGUGGCUGUAGCUCAAUGGUGGUGUAGCAUGACACGCUGAAAGAGCCUAUUGAAAGCCAGUGAAUUCAGCAGUUAAUGAAAAGAGCAAAAGGACAGCAAAUCCGCCAGGCAGGUGCCUGAUUUGGAUAUUCAAGCCAGGAACCUGACCACCAUUGAAAUGACCUCAGUGACCUCAGUGAAAGCCUGCCCAGUCCUGCAACACUGUCUAAGAAAGAGAGAAAAGGGUGGAUGUAUCUGCAGUAACCAUUGCAGAGUCCAUGGUUGUCUUGACAACUCAAGCUUCUCGCAGCCUUAAGAAGGAAUCUACAAAAACACACUCAGAAACCCAAUGUUAUGUCAUAGAAACUGUCAACAGGUCAGCUCUUCAUCAACAGCCCACUCCAAUCGGGCACAACCCAGCCAGCCUGAAAUUACUGAUUCCACUUGAGAGGAAUACCAGCAGACAUAGACUCUAUGGGAGAAAUACCAGCAACCAUGAGCAGCAUCUCAGUCCACAGCACUUUUCCACAACUUCAAAACACCUGGAGCCUGCUGCUGUGCGUGUGAUGAGCAGCAGCCAGCUGCCAUUUGGGAACUUCUAAUGAAAGAAUAAUGACUUUAAGGACACACAUUUUAUCAUACACAGACAAUAUUUUAGUCCAGACUGUUUACCUUGUCCCUCUGCCCUGUACGUAGCUCUGUUCAGACACGGACACAUGGCUGUCAGAGAAAGCUGUGAGCCCUCCAUGCUGCCUGUAGAUGACUCCCUUAUUAAAAGAGCCAGAAAGGGUGGCAGGAACUCAGGCUGGACACUUCACCAACUCGAUACCGUAUGGCAUGCCAUGUGGCAGCAAGGAACUGGGCUUGUCAAGCAUGGCAUCACACAACAGACAUGGGGGAAAAUCAUGUGAAUUAAACAGACUAAUGUUUUUUGCACAGUU